rfam:Cavia porcellus supercont2_25 genomic scaffold, whole genome shotgun sequence.
GGGGAUUUAGCUCAGUAGCAUAAGCACCUGCCUUGCAAGCAGGCGGUUAUGAGUUCGAUCCCUGGUACCCA